rnacentral:rRNA from 1 species
AUUAUCCUCAUAAGUUUGACAAUAAGAGAAACCAUAUAAAAUUUAAAUUAUUAAUAAUUUAAAUAAUAAUAUGGUAUAAUAAAAUCGGAGGCCACGACUGUUUACUAAAAACACAAUUCAGAGCAAUGAUUAAUAUAAUAGUAUUCUGGAUGAAAUUUGCUCAAUGCCAUUAAUAUAAGAGAGGUAAUUUUAAAGUUACUAAUCGAAAAUCUGGUUAAUAGCGGUCUUAACUAUGAGGAUCCUAAGGUAGCAAAAUAAAUUGGCCAUUAAAUGUGGUCUUGUAUCAAUAAUGUAACGAUGGUCUCACUGUCUCUACAACUUGCUCAGUGAAAUUGAAUUGCGAGUGCAGAUGCUCGCUAUCUUCAGAGGGACGGGAAGACCCUAU